CAAACGAGCGGCAAACCCUUGGUCCUUAGUUUGCCAGCCUUAAAGUUGGGCACUCUAAGGAGACUUGCCGGUGACAAACCGGAGGAAGGUUGGGGACGAUCGUCAAGUCAUCAUGGCCCUUACGUGUAGGGCUACACACGUGCUACAAUGGCAUUUACAGAGGGAAGCGAGACAGUGAUGUGGAGCGGACCCCUUAAAGAAUGUCGUAGUCCGGAUUGGAGUCUGCAACUCGACUCCAUGAAGUCGGAAUCGCUAGUAAUCGCAGGUCAGAAUACUGCGGUGAAUACGUUCCCGGGCCUUGUACACACCGCCCGUCACACCAUGGGAGUGGGAUGCAAAAGAAGUAGUUAGUCUAACCUUCGGGAGGACGAUUACCACUUUGUGUUUCAUGACUGGGGUGAAGUCGUAACAAGGUAACC
rnacentral:rRNA from 1 species